GAACGCACCUUGCGCUCCUUGGUAUUCCGAGGAGCAUGCCUGUUUGAGUGUCAUUUAAUUCUCAACCUUAUUAGCUUUUGCUGAUAAUGGCUUGGAUGUGGGGGUUUUCUUUUGCUGGCUUUCGUCAGCUCCCCUUAAAUGCAUUAGCUGGUGCCCCGCGUGGACUGUCCGUUCGGUGUGAUAAUUAUCUACGCUGUGGAUGUCUGCAAAUAGGUUUUGCACUGCUUCUAACCGUCUGUUCAUUUGGACAAUACAUGACAAUUUGACCUCAAAUCAGGUAGGACUACCCGCUGAACUUA
rnacentral:misc_RNA from 1 species